rnacentral:hammerhead_ribozyme from 1 species
GUACUGCUGAAGAGUCCCAUACUGGGGCGAAAUAGCUGUCCAGUAC